rnacentral:lncRNA from 1 species
AUGUGAAGUGGCUUCUUUACACAUUUCAUCACCUACAAACGGAAGUAGUUAAUUCUGGAAGAGAUGAUCAAAAGAAUCAAGAGGCGAAUAUAGCUGGAAGGAAAAAAAAGUUCAAAGUCAAAACUGUAUUCUGGGAGUUCCCCUUGUGCCUCAGGGGGUUAAGGACCCACAUUGUCUCUGAGGAUGCGGGUUUGAUCCCUGGCCUCCCUCGGGGGGUUAAGGAUCCAGCAUUGCUAGAAGCUAUGGCAGAGGUCACAGAUGCAGCUUGGAGCCAGGGUGGCUGUGGUGUAGGCCAGCAGCUGCAGCUCCAAUUAGACCCCUAGCUUGGGAACUUCCAUAUGUUACAGGUGCAGCUGUAAAAAGAAAAACAAACUGUAUUCUGGUCUAAGGUGGGUUUUUUUUUUGUCUUAUUGCUAUUUCUUGGGCCGCCCCUGCGGCAUAUGGAGGUUCCCAGGCUAGGGGUCGAAUCGGAGCUGGAGCCACCGGCCUACACCAGAGCCACAGCAACAUGGGAUCCGAGCCGCGUCUGCGACCUACACCACAGCUCACAGCAACACCGGAUCCUUAACCCACUGAGCAAGGGCAGGGACCGAACCCGCAACCUCAUGGUUCCUAGUCGGAUUCGUUAACCACUGCGCCAUGACAGGAACUCCUAAGGUGUUUGUUUUACUGGCAAUCAUCCUGUCCACCUAUGAGCACAGGUCCUCCUUUCAAGAGACCUAGUUGUAGGUCCCUUGAAUUUUUUCUCACAGUACUAUUGUUAAAGUCUAUCUAGAGCUUCCCAUUCGAAAGCAAACAACUCUUUGGAGUCAAAACUCAAGGGUAGGCAAAACAAACCCCCAUCCUUUAACUCCAAUACAGGAAACCAACAAAAAUCUCCAAAGCAGUGAGCAGAGGUAUGAGUUUAGGAACCACUGGAUGAGUAUCUUAGGUGUAGCUGUCUUUGCUUGUCCUGGCUCCCCAUCCUGUCCCCUCAGGGCUGACCAGCUGCACUCCCUCUUCCAGAACAGUUGCAGGCUGUCUUUGGGGGUUGGAAGCACAGAGAUUGCCGUGGGCAAGCCUUCUAUUUUAAUGUGCUAUUUUAUGUCCAUUUACCCAGGUGCAGAGGCAACCCUGGUAUUUAACUUGUCAGUCUCCUCCCAGAAGGGGAAUGGCGCAUUCAGGCAGGUACAGAAAGCUGUGUUUUAUGGGUUUUUUUUUUUUUUGUCUUUUGUCUUUUUUAGGGCCACACCCACGGCAUAUGCAGGUUCCCAGGCCAGGGGUCUAAUCAGAGCUACAGCUUCCAGCCUACACCACAACCCCAGCAAUGCCAGAUCCGAGCUGUGUCUGCGACCUACACCACAGCUCGCGGCAAUGGUGGAUCCUUAACCUACUGGAUUGGGCCAGGGAUCGAAGCUGCAACCUUAUGGUUCCUAGUUGGAUUCAUUUCUGCUGCACCAUGACGGGAACUCCCAGAAAGCUGUGUUUUAGACUGGUUUCCCCAUCGGACAGUCUAGUGACUAGAGAAAGGGCUUUUUCAAUGUUUCUCCCCACACUCUAGUUACUAGCAGUCUCAGAGGAAGGUUUAGAGAGCCAGGUAUUUAAAAUGAAGAAAGGGACCCCCACCCUCAACAAACCAGAAAAUCCAAAAGUUGAUUUUCCUACAGUCAUAGUCACCAGGGGCUCCGUACAGGAGAUCCUGAUGGACUCCGUGGGGUUGAAAGCAACUCCUGGGCCCUGCCCUUCUUGGUCACUGUCCUUUUUGAUUCAGGCAUGUGGUGUGCCACCCAUUUACCUUCAAGUCUUACUAGGAUGGGACGCUUUUCUAGGCUUCCUAGAAAACGAUACGUACAUGGGCAGUCCACACUCUUGGACUUCCUACCUUUUGCUGAGCGCCUCAUGGGGGCCCUUGAUGGGGUCUGGCUCUUCUGUGUCAGGCAGCCACCAGCAGGGUG